rnacentral:misc_RNA from 1 species
UUGUGUCACCGCGCUGUCUUUGUGUUCCUUUUGCCGGAUUAGUCGUUCUAUAGUUUGUUCUGCUUGAUUCGCCCCACUUUAGGCAUGCACUCGUCGAUCCUGUGAGCUUGCUGAGGCAUGCGCCCCUCCAGUAAGCUCUAGGGAAGUUUCUCCAGGACACACACACACACACACACACACACACACACACGACCGAAUCAGGCAUGCGGUGGCGUCAAGUGCCUGAAACACAAAAAAAAAGACGGCAGUCGAUCCAGCGAAAAGAGAGACAAAAUCGGAUCAACCAAAACGCCUCUUCCUCCGCCCCUUCUUCUUUGCCGUUGAUAUGGAGUCUCCUUGGCCUAUGGCCAGCUCCUGGCCUCUCUUCCUUCGAUCUGCUAGCAGCACCACCGUCCCCUCCCACUGUCUCGAAAAACAACAAAAAACUUCAGUCUGUGCGUGUGUGAUCCGCUUUGUGCGCACCUGCUCCUCUACAAGGCAACAGACGAAACACACACACACACAAUCAUUCUCAUCUGUCGGUGUUUCCGUGUAAGGCGUAUUUGUUUGUCUGCACAUGUGAGUCUGCCUCUCUCCCCUCUCUACUUUCUCCCCUACCCUCCUCCAGACAGAUGGCGGCACGCGGAUGCGUAGUACACCUCUAUUUGGUCUACACGUCUUUCCCUUCUCUGGAUCUUUCUCAAGGUGCCAUCAUAAGACGGGCCUUUGACGAACAUUUCUCUCGCGGAGAGAGCUCGCUACUGCCACCCCGCGCACCUCUUUUGGUUUCUUCGUUUCUUCACCGGGGCCAUGCUAAAACUCCUUUUUUCUUUUAGGUGUGUGUAUGUUUGUGAUCUCUGACGUACUUUUUUUCUCACGCGUGUUGGCUGAAUGGGUCUCUUCCACCGUGCUGAUCCCUGCAUCUGCUCGUCAGCUUGUGCUGACCGUCGCCUCCUCAUCUCUACCUUCUCCCCACUGCCUCCUGUUCGCUCCUUUCUCUUGGGUAUCGCUUUCCUCCCAGCCAGUAGGUAUAGGCGCGUUGAUCUUUUUUUUUUUCAUCUGAGGAUGCUGUAGGAGGGGGAAGGGGGCUGCCGCGGCCGGUAAUGCCAGGAGCUGGGAAAAAUAAAGCAGACGAUACUUCUCAACAGUGGAAGAGAGGGGGUGAGAGACACUCGUGCGAAAAAGGAGCAAAGAAAGCAGUUUCACACAGCAGCAACAACAGCAGCGCAUCUAUUCCACUAACAGAUGAGGGAUACAGAUAACGUGUAGCAGUGCAGUUGACAAAGGGUGUAUCCUGACGCGGACACAAAAGCAUGUAUAGUGUUCUCCUCCUCCCCCUUUUAUUUUUUUUUCGCUACCACUCCUACUACUUGCCUUUUCUGGGAGCUGUGUGUUGGAGUGUACGUGGCACCUCUGUGGUGUUCAUCUCCCUCCUACUUCCUCCCUUUACCACCACCGACCUUUUUGUAUGGCUGUGCAUGCGUGCGCCUGUGAUUGUGCUAUGCUAUUUUGUUUUUGCAUGCUCGUUGAUGAUUGAGACGGUGGCCUUUUCCGUCUCUCUCUUGUUGUGUGUGGUGGUGGUGGUGGUGGAGGUCUCUGCGCGCCUCUCAUCCCUGCACCUCUCUACUUUUAAAUCCGCUUCCUUUGUUUUCCGUUUCGUGUUGUGAGAGAAGCUUUUUAUUUUUUUACCCUUUUGGUUUCGCUUUCAAGGCGUCACUCUACAACGCGCAAGCCGGUGAAGAUACGCAUAAGACUGCAGCUCACCUACGUGUGCUGUGCUACAGCGAAACCCUGGCCAGCCAGGGCGAACCGCCCUGCCGACGGAUCGGGCCAUGCGCCUUGCGGGCUCUUCUCGUCCUUACUCGUCCUUCCUCGUCCCUUCUUCGCACACGUGCUGCGCCAUCGACGCCACACGGAGACUCGCGUGGGCUGCAUGCCUUGAUCCACGCGGUCCGUGCCCGGGCUCCUGCUCGAGGGCGCGAGCGGUGGCGCCCGUCGUGCGGACAAUAAGGGCGUGGCCGAGGCGCAUGCCGGGAGAGUUCAAGGAGGGGGCGGGCCAGCCUCAGGUCAUGGGCCUCUGAAACCCGGCACAACCUGCCUGUAUGCCAUGCUUUUCUCCCUCUCAGCUGCCUCGAGCCGCGGCACCCCAUAGGAUGGCGUGGCGGCUCUCCACAUGGGAGCCUGGAGGGCUCGAUGGUGCCAUUCGGGGGUGUUCUCGUCCUGCUUCCGGCAUCCGUGCCUCAUCGACCGGCCCGGUCGGAUGGAGGAGGUGCCGCCUGCUUGCGCACGCGUGCGCCUCGGCGUCGAUCGGUAUGGAUCUCUUCGCGCCGCUUUCGCCCAUCACUCCUGCUCGGCUGACCUCUGCAUGCCGUGACUGGAUGUGGCGCAGCACGCCAGCUAUGGCUGGCAGCGCGUGCACACCUGGUUCAUCGUCUUACAUCCUGGUUGCUGCUUUCUAGGAGAGGAGGUUUCUUUUCCAAGGAGACUCUACUGCCUGUGUCCAUGUGGGUGCUCCUCUUGCCCUCUCUCUCGGGGGUUGGCUUGUUGGCUGCGAUCUGUGGGUCUCUGAGAGGUUUGUUUGCUCGUUCUGUCUUUGUGUUGUUCUCCAUUUCGCUUUCUUGUUUUUUUUUUCUCGCUUUCGCCCUUCGCUUACAGCCUUUUCGCUUGUCGUUCGCGUCGCUGUGCUGCCUUGCCUGCCGUCCAUUUCUUUUUCGAUUCUCUUGCUUGUUGUGAUGUUUUUUUUUUUGUUCCUCUCUUUUAUGGAUGUGUGAAUGUUACGUGAGCAUACAGGUGCGUCUGUGCGUGCGCUCCUUAGGGGAAGAUCCGAAGGGGCUGGGGGAGGGGGUGAGGACCGUGGUGUGGCGCACGCACCUCCCGCCACCAUCACACGUACGCGUAUAUCUGAACGGUGGGAUGCACGAUACGCAUUGAUUUCGAUAUGCUAGUUUCUGUCUCUGGGUUCGCAUUUUUGCUUGUUGGUAUACGGGCCUUUGUCCGCGUGGAUGUUGGGGCUGCCAAGGCUGGUGCUUGUUCUUCUUCUCUUCGUGUUCUCCAUGUUCUCCCUUUAUUGACAUUCCUCCCUUGAACCCCCCCUAACCAUCAAAACCUAUGCGACGGACGUUGCGUUUGCGUCAACCCACACUGCCGCUCUCUCUCUCGCUUCCCUCGACGUGCCGUGUAAGUAGACCCUUUUUGUGCUGCGAAGGACAGAGCAUAGGGCAGUG